UGCGCUUCAURUGCAAACGAUUCUUCCGGUCAGAAGUCACAGCUAAUUUUAAAAAUGAUUUUAUAAACUUAUUUGGAGAAAUAUAAAUAGAACAUAAAACUGUCCAACAGCAAAAAGGAACAAAAUAAAAUCCUUGGGUUAGUCAGACCUGCCAGUGAUCAAAGCCUUUGUGAUUAUGCCGACUUGAACAUGUUAGCGCUGACCCCUGACCUCCCAGACCAGCCUGACUCCUGUGAAGCAGUCAAAGUCAGCAGCAGCCAUGACCUCUAACCCCGCAGACCAGCCUGACUCCUUCCUGUGAACCAGGCGGGGGGCGGCGGCCCGUCACCGUCCCACAAUAAACACCAUCCAUCAUCCUCGCUGCCAUUAGCCGCUGACAGGCCGCACCACCGCCGCCUGCAUAAUGUGGAGCCUCCUCCUGCUUCCUGUUCGCUCCACGCCGCAUUGGCCGUGCCGGACAGAGGAGGACCAGGCCGGAGCAGAACUUCCUGCAUAACGGGCCCGACGCUGCAAAAACUAAAAUGUUACCAAAUAGUUUGGUCUGAAUUCUACUGCAGAUUUCUUAAUACAGUUGAAAUGAGUCAAAACUAACUGACAGGGAAGUUUACAGCAACAUAGAGGAGCUUGAUUCAGGAAAUAUAUUCAAUAUUUAUGAAAUGUAUAAUCAGAAUAAAA